rnacentral:lncRNA from 1 species
UCUCAAGUAGUGGUAGGUCCUACGUCGUAAUCUCAGGCGAAACCGCUACCACGCUCCUCGCAUCGCCCGGUCGUCCUGUUCGAAUCCAGCGCAUUGUCCCUCCCUCCCUCAUUUUCGAACUGCUCUAACGUCCUCCCUCCCCAUUCCGUCACAACGAGGACCUGCGCGGGGCUGCGGGAGGUGGUUUGGCCGGAGAUUUGCUGGUGCGGGAGGCCGUCCGCAGACGCGCGUGCCAUUGGCUAAUCACAUAGGUAAAUCCCAGCAUUUCUUCGCACGCAUCUGCUCCAGAUCUCGGUUGGGACGGCGAGGUUAGGGUUUAGGUGGUGUGAUGGGCGAUUAGGACGGCGAGGUUACGGGUGUGCGAUCAUGGAGGGUAUGCAUCGCGUCCGCGGGCACCACAUGCCCCUGAGUCUGUUGAGGGACAGGGCCAGGGGUGGGGAGAGGGGCUCACAACAGCAUCAUCAGAUCAGUGUCGAGGUGGAGAGCUUCGAGGAGCUCGGGCUCGUGGAGGAGGUGUAGGCCGCUAUGCGGGAGGCUGGCAUCACGAAGCCCACCGAGAUCCAGUGCCUCGGCCGCUUCGAGGAGCUCAUGCUCGAGGAGGAGGUGUUGGUCGUGAUGCGGGAGGCUAGCAUCACAAAGCCACCGAGAUCCAGUGCGUCGGCCGCUGAGGUUUCUGGCGAUGGAGGUGUCCAUUUUUUGUUUUUCGGCGGAGUUGCGUGAAUCUACACUAGCACUUGUUUAGAUAUUUGAAUGCAGUUGCUUAGUUUUUGUUUCGUCCAAUUACAGAUGUGAAGGGGGUAUUGAUAGUUCUCCGUGUCGACAGUUGCAAUGUGAAGUUGCUUGAAUCUCCGCAUGCAGUUGUAUAGAAAUAUGAGUGUAGUUGCUUAGUUUUUGUUUUCAUCCAGUUGCAGAUGGGAAGGGGGUAAAGGCAGUUCUUCGUGUCGGUAGUUGCAAGGAAAUAGGGCAGUAAUUGCUUUUUUGAGCUUCCAGUGGGACUCUAUUUUGGAAGAUGGUUUAGUGGUUGGUAGUUUUUUUGUUCGUGCAUUUCACAUUUACUAUCCAUGAGUAGCACCCUUUUUUGUUUUUCUGUAUUUUUUGUUGUUGUUGAUGUCAAGCAAUGUGGUGAAGAUGAAUAUGUGGUUUGGUUUGUGAUGUUGGUUGUUAUUUGUUUGCCGGUGCCACCAUGUACUAGUGAAUACCAGGCUAAUAGAAAGUAGAACCUGAGAUGUAAUCCUGAAUAUCAGGCAAAUUUUAGUAGUUGUGACGAUGAAGUUAAAGAUGUUAAAUAUGGACACAAUUUUAACCCAACAAUGAUAGUGAAGUCACACAUUUUUAUCUAGGAUUUUUUUUGUGCUUUUAUGUCUUGUGUUUUUCAACCAACAUGGCAUUUUUUUCUUAUGUGUUUGUGUAUUUUUGUUUGGAAUGACACGAAAGAGCAAAAGGAUUGCAAAGAGAAUUGAUGGAAAAGAGGAGGAGGCUCAAACGACACGCAUUGUUGGGCGCAAGCGUGUGCGGGCGAAUCAGAAUCAUGUCCGGGGUGGACGGACGGGGAAACAAGGCACUGAUUCUGCCCCUUGUGAUGAAGAAUGAAGGCAUGUGAAACAUGCGAAGAAAGGCGGACAUGAGGUAUUUUUAUAGAAAACUUGAAAUCGGUAGGGUUGACAAGCAUCACAUGUGUGGGGUAUGAUAAUAUGAUCGUAGGUUGAAAAAUCAUCAUGUUUGUUUUUGUUUUUGUCUUCACCUUAUUUGGGACAAGAAGCGUAGUAGUUUCCUAGCACAGUAGUAGCAGUUGCCUAACAC